CUUUGAGUCGCGGUCAAGUUCAGUGAGAGGCACGGGACUGUCUAUCCCAGAGCGCCAGGAGCCAAGGUUUCAGUUAAGUUUCAGUGGCUACUACUCUACAAACCGCUCUCUCCUUUCCUCUCUCUCUCCAGCCAAGACACAAUGAAUGUUUACCAAACACCAGAGAAGGAGAUCAUCUCAGGGCUUUCUUACAGGAAAAUAAGUGAUAGUGUUAUAUGGAAUAAUGAAUCUACUGCCACCAUGGAGAUGAAUCCAGAGGGCCUACCUUCCCUGGACUACAGGGAAGAGGACCCCCCUCCCAACAAACACUUCAAGUACCACACCAGCCUGCAGAACAUGAUCCCAUUCCGCUUCUCAAACAAGUAAGUCCCAACUACACACCUCUAACCCCU